rnacentral:rRNA from 1 species
UACAGAGGUCUCGAGCGUUAGGCGGAAUCACUGGGCUUAAAGCGUGUGUAGGCGGCGGGCUAAGUACCUUGUGAAAUCCCACGGCUUAACUGUGGAACUGCUGGGUAUACUGGUUCGCUUGAGCGGUCUAGGGGCGAGCGGAACAAAUGGUGGAGCGGUGAAAUGCGUAGAUAUCGGGAGGAACACCAGUGGCGAAGGCGGCGACCUGGGCCAAUAUUGACGCUGAGGUGCGAAAGCGUGGGGAGCAAACAGG